CAGAGGAUCCAUCACAGAAUGAGCCCAUAUCAACUAUUCUUGUAUCACAAGUACCUUCAGAGGCUUUAUGAACUCUGCAAUGCCUUUAGGAAACCACCAGUGAACAGAGGGACCACGGACUCCAUGCUACCGUUCUCACCAGUGACAGAAACGGCUCCACCUCUGACUCCUACUCCAUCAGGCCCCUUUACCCCACCAGGCCCCAUUACCCCUGACAGACGGGGAGACAUGUGAUUCAUGAAGUCCCACAGAGACUUCCUAGCCAAACACAGCAUUCUUCCUCCCACAUUGCUUAUCACCACAACUGAUGAUCAAAGACAUCAUCUCUCUGCUCCUUGGACCACAGCACACCCUUUUCAGUAUCCUAGAUAA